rnacentral:rRNA from 1 species
GACGAACGCUGGCGGCGUGCUUAACACAUGCAAGUCGUACGGUAAGGCCCUUUCUUUGUUACCCGCGUGGCGAACGAGUGGGUAACACGUGCGUAACCUGCCCACCACUUUGUUUUAACUCUAUGAAACUAGUGCUAAUACUUGCUAUGUGCUCCUUCUUCAUGCUUGGGGUUGGAAAGCUCCGGGCGUUGUGGAUGGACUGGCGGCCUAUCUGCUUGGUGGUGGGGUAGGGGCCUACCAAGGCGGCGACGGGUGGCCGGCCUGAGAGGGUGACCGGCCAAAAUGGGAAUGAGAUAAGGCCCAGACCCCCACGGGAGGCAGGAGUGGGGAAUAUUGGACCAUGGGCGCAAGCCUGAUGCAGGAACGCCGCGUGCGGGAUGACGGCCUUCGGGUUGUAAAACGGUUUCAGCAGGGACGAAGCUGUUUGUGACGGUACCUGCAGAAGAAGCACCGGCUAACUACGUG